AUAUAUAUACACACAUCACAUCUUCUUUAUCCAUUCAUGUCUUGGCUAUUUUGAGUAAUACUGCAGUGAACAUGUAGGGGUGGAUGUCUCUUUGAGGUAGUGAUUUUGUUUCCUAAGAGAAUAAACAGAUUGGUUGUACAUCAAGAGUGGGUUUACUGGAUCAUAUGGUAGUUCUAUUUUUUUAAGUUUGUUUGUUUGUUUGUUUGUUUGUUUGUUUGUUUGUUUAUGCCAUCUUUACACCUAGCAUGGGACUCAAACUCAUGACCCUGAGAUCAAGAGUUGGAUGCUCCACUGACCGAGUCAGCCAAGUACCCUGGUAGUUCUAUUUUCAAUAUUUGGAGGAUCUUCCAUACUGUUUGCCAUAGUGGGCAUACUAAUUUAUAUUCUUACCAGCAGUGCACAAAGGUUCCCUUUUCUGUACAUUCUCACCAACACUUGUUAUCGCUUGUCUUUUUUAAUAAUAAUCCUAACAGGUGUGAGACAAUAUCUCAUUAUGAUUUGGAUUUGCACUUUCCUGAUGUUCGUGAUGUGGAGCACCUUUCAUGUACCUGUAGGCCAUUGUGUGUCUUUGGAAACAUCUUUGAGAAAAUGUCUAUUUAAGUUCUUUGCCCAUUUUUUGAAUUGGAUUAUUUGUGGGUUCUGCUAUUGAGUGAUAUGAGUUCUUUAUAUACUUUGGAUAUUAACCCCUAAUUGGACAUAUGAUUUGCAAAUAUUUUCUCUCGUUCUGUAGGUUCACAUUUAAUUUUGGUGACAAUUUCCUUUGCUGUGAGAUGCUUCUUAGUUUCAUGUAGUUCCACUUGUUUAUUUAAUUUUUAUUGCUUGUGCUUUUGGUGUCACAUCCAAAAAAUCUUGUCAAGACCAAUAUUAAGUGGCUUUUCCUGUUGGUUUUCUUCUAGGAGUUUUACAGUUUCAUGUACAACAUUUAAGUACUUUGAUUUAAUGUUUGUGACUAGUAUAAAAUGUGAGUUCAAUUUCAUCCUUCUUCAUGUAGCUAGUCAGGUUUUCCAGUACCAUUUAUGGGAGAGACUGUCCUUUACCCAUUGUAUGUUCUUGCCUUUUUUGUUAUAAAUUAAUUGACCACAUACGCAUGGGUUUAUUUUUGGGCUCUUUAUUCUGUUGGCCUAUGUGUCUUUUUUUACACCAGUACCAUGAUGUUUCAAUUGCUGUAACUUUGCGAUACAAUUUCAAUCAGGAAGCAUGAUGCCUCUAGCUUUAUAUACUUCCUCAAAUUGAUUUGGCUAUUUGGAAUCUUUUGUGGUUCCAUACUGUUACCGAACCAGGCUGGAACGCUGGAGGAAAAACCAAGCGACACUUGGAGAUCUUGGUGGAUCGGAGAUUUACUUAACACCGGCAGGCUCAGAGGAGACAGUUUCUCCAAAAAUCUGAGCGCCGAAUGCCAGUGGGGAGGGUAAUUUAUAGUCAUCAGCUUCCACAUCUGUGGGGGCUUUCCCAUGAGCAGCAAACAAAGGAAGAAGAACACAGAGGAGGGGUAUCCAAACCAGAGACCAGAGUCUGUUUUAGCCCCAUCAGCCAUCUUUGGCAUACUUUAUUCACCUCUGCAACAAUACAAAUUUUAGAGCUGUUUUUUUUUUUCUACUUAUGUGAAAAUGCCAUUGGAGCCUUGAUAGAUAUUGCAUUAACCUACAGAUGGCUUUAGGUACUAUGGACAUUUCAAUGAUAUUAAUUCUUCUGAUCCAUGAACAUAGGAUAUAUUUUCAUUUGUUUCUGUCUUCAUUAAUUUUUCAUCAAAGUUUUAUAAGUUUCCAUGUAUAGCCCACUGUCUCCAGAAAUGUGGGUGCUACUGGGUCCUAUAGAAUAUGUAGAUCCUUCAAAUGCCCCCACUCUUAUUCGUGUUGUGGCCCCUGUGGCCUAUAGAGGAAAUGGGGGAAAUUUCCUCUGAUGCCUAAUAUACAGACAGGUAUAGUUGAGGAAACGCACACAAAGGAACUCAAGUUGCUAUACAACCCAAUACUGACACCAUCUGGAUGGAAACAGGAACAAGGUAAGCAGUCACUGGACUGAACUCAGAAGGGUUUCACUGGUGGUCACUCAUGAGCUCUAGUAAUUAACCAUUUGCACUGACAGGUAGACUGUUCUAAAGAGAUUAACCUAGAAUUUAGACACUGGGAAGCCAAAGGGCAGAUUAUCAUAACUAAACCCUGUGGUAUCAGGGUAUGGUAUCAGGACAUUUGGGCUCACCGGCAAGAGCCUGAGGUGAUCCUCACUAUUUUCCAAGUCCUGGUUCAUAAAGUACUGGUUGGUAGAAAGGAAAAAUGGAAUAUUAAAAGAUCAGAUUAAAUUAUUAACGGGGUAAUCACCUUGGCCUGGUGUACUAAUGUGCUGUUACAGGCUUUAAUGCAUUUGAAUGAUCAAACAUUAUGGUCUGUGGCUCCAUAUGCCAGACUGGGGACCCCUGCUGAGCCACCCAAUACUAUAAAGGUAUAGAAGUCUAAGGAGAUAGUUAUGGCCCCCACUCUCACUGUGGAUUAAUAUGCUAUGCUGCUGAGAACACCAAAAGGUGUUGUCUACUGGAAUUUUCCAUGGGAUGUCCCAUAGGAUAGGUGAGUUACUUUGUACCCUUGGGUGAGGGGGAUCUACUGAAUCUCUACUGGGAUCCUGUUGUUCUGUUGAAAGGCAGACCUGUGGAAAUUCACUAUACCUGUAAUGGAGCAUACCACAUCAAAAGAGGGGAGAACAUGGGGGUCCUGGUCUGGCAUAUUCUGCCCCAGUGUAUCUUCUCAUGCCUGACAGUGCUGCUUCCCUCUGCCAACAUGAAUGGCAUGCACAACCAGGUUAAGUUCCUAAAGCUGCUGGUGUCCCUUUCCUUCAAGGCCAUAAUGCCCUGACACCCCCCUGGCAAUCAGGAGGCUGAUCUCUAGCCUGGGUAUAAGCCCUAGCAACUGACUCUGCAGUACCUAUAGCAGAUUAAGUGCAACUACUGUAGAGCCUUGGAAUGGAUGGAAUGGCAUAUUGCCAGGAUUUGCCCUUAAAAUAUAGUGACUUGGUAAAUGUAGUAACAGCAUGUACUAUCUUUAUUUUUUUUUCUUUCUUCUUUCUUUUCUUUCUUCUUUCUUUCUUUCUUUCUUUCUUUCUUUCUUUCUUUCUUUCUUUCUUUCUUUCUUUUCUGGUGGAGCCUUUGUGAUUUCUCUACAUAAUAAGAUCAUGUUAUUUACAAAUGGGUGAUUUUACUUCUUUCUUCCUGAUUUGGAAGAUUUUUAUUUCUUUUUCUUGCCUGAUUGCUAUGGUAAGACUUCCAAUACUAUGUUGAAUAGAAGUGGUGAGAGUGAACACCCUUGUCUUGCUCCUGAUCUUAUAGGAAAAGCUUUCAGCUUUGACUACUGAAUGCAAUAUUUGCUGUGGACUUGUCAUAAAUGGCCUUUAUUAUGUUGAAGUAAAUUCCUUUUAUACCAAAUUUAUUGAGAGUUUUGAAUUUUAAGUUCUUUUGCAUCUAAGUCCUCCAAGUCCUUGAGUAAGUGCUCAAAUGUGGCCUGGGUAAGAAAAUACUGACAUCAGCAGCCAAGGUGACCUUGUGUUGUGCUUUUAUUCUGUGAAUGACCUGGCACUAAAUGCUGUCCCUCCAUAAUUCUUCCCAACCCCAUUGGAGAAGACUCUGGGGCCAGAUUCUCCCUCCUUGUUCCAAGGUCCCUGGGUGACUCCCUGGGAGUGGCCCAGGUGUCUGUCUCUGCCUGGCUUGUCCAUGCCCUGAUAGAGGGUAAAGCCAGGGCCAGAGCUGCUGAGGUGGUUGGGGAAGUGGGAAAGAACUGAAGGCAGCCCAGAGUGGUGAUUCCACUUGUUUGCAAGAUCGUGGCUCAUUGCUCCAUCCACCAUCCCAUGGAUCUGCUGCCUCUUCUGUUCCUGGAUGCUGCUACUGCUUUCAGGCUUCCAGUGUGCACCAGCACAGCCACCAGACUGGGAAGAAACGUGCCCCAGGGAGGUGAUGUCGCUGAUAUCCACUAGUGCUCAGCACGUGGCUUCCUCUUGUUCUCAGCACAGUUCUGGACACAGACAUGGACACUCCCAUUUUACUGAAGGAAACCAGCCCAGGCUCACACAGCUGGAGAGACGCGGAUGAACUAUUUCUCUUAAAAUGCUGUCAUUCCUGGAGAUCGCAGGAGAUCCCUAUUGAGUCAGCUGGAUUUCUUCUCUGAUGAGCCCCACCACCCCCUUCAGUGUCGUAUACUUUGUAUAGAAUAACAAUACCUUUCUAAAGAAUACAAUUCAUUGAUAUUUGACAAAUGGUAAGCAGCAAUGAAACCAUGACCACAGUAAGAGAGCAAACACAGACGUCACUCCCCCUAUCCAUAUUUUGCCUGACCAUUUCCCUCUUGGCUGUGAUGUGUUUGAAAUUCACUGGAAACAUAGCAUUAUUACCGCUUCCAUGGGAACUUAUGCUUGUCUAAUUUACCUCCAGUGAUCUGUUUUGCGCCAUAUCCCCCUUCCUUUCUGAUUUGAAAACCUUUGCUGUUGGUGAUGUGGGAAAAAUCAUAGGACCUGAUUUGACAGAAUUGUUUGUCAGUUCAGGAAAUAGCCAACUGCAGGAGACAUUUCUCCGGUGUUUCUGGUACAGUCGAGUAUAUGAAGAUCAAAUUUCUGAGAAGAUUAAGUACUACAUGAAGGAAAAUGAAAAAUGUGCAGAAAAAAAUACCAUUUGUGAAGAGCAGGUUGACCUCUCCCUUAAUGAAGUUGAUACCAGUGAAGUGAAAUUGAAGUCUGAAAAACAGCCUCUGCAGAAAGAAAAUGCUCAGCUCAAGACCCAAAAGAAUCAGGCAGAAAAUGGGAGCUGGGGGACAACUGUGAUGCACUUAGGUGUGUGAAAGGGGCAAAGGACGCCAAAUGGGACACACUGAAGAAGAAUGUAGACGUUCGUGAUGGAAUGUGUGGACAAAGACAGAAGCUCACAGAAAAAAAGCUGGGACUGAAAGAAUGGGAGCAGGUGGAAGGGGAGAAGCAGCUGUCAGCCACAGAGGAGAAAGUCAAAUUAGCUGCAGAAGAGCUUCAGAACUACAGUGAGUUCAGCUCCUACCACCAGCUCAUGUGAUGGCCAUUGUAUUACUUUGAAACUUUGUACAGUGUUUAGAGCCAAGUAGCACACAAAUAUACACAUUCAAGAGACAUUCAUUUCUAUAGAGACUUCAAGAGAGAUGUGACAUUUUCCAGAUGUUAAGUUAAAAAUAUUAAUCUAGGUUAAAGUAACUAAAGAUUUCCUGAUCCUCAUUGCUGGCCAGACUAUGUGGAAAUGUGGUUCCUGAACAUGUUUCUGGAGGUGCUGGAAAUGAUUACAAACCUCAGGGAGCAGUUAGUUUGAGGAUGAAUCACAUCGACAAGUAUGACCAUCCCAUUUUAGAUACCCACUUGUUGUAAUCAUGAGAAAUAUGAUAAGGAUACAAGGAAAAGAAGAUUUGAGCUUUACAAUGAAAUAUCCUCAUUGCAGAAUUAGGGAGCUGUCCCCACAGGUAAGGAGACCAUGUCAACGUGGAGCCCUACAGGCAUUAAAUAAUAAAUACAAGAUGAUGUAGUGAUGGCUUUGAGCUUUCUGUACUCUCCUCCUCAUGUGAAAUGUGUCUUCUAUGAUUGGGUCAUGUGUAUGAGAAUUCAGUUCUUAUAAUGGGAACCUGGGCCAAUUAACAUCACCCUCCACAUGGUGCUUCAUCUGAUGAAAGCCAUUGCACGCCCAGGAGAACACUGGAAGAAACACCAGAACAGCUGCAGCAGUCAGAGCUCACCUUCGGACACCAGGUACCCUGCACUCUGCCUAGUAGUUCCUGAGUGCUUCAGCACCUAACACAGAUGAUCAUAAAGGGGAACUGAAUCUCUCCACAUGGGUUUUAUUGCUGACUGUUUCAGAUUGCUCUUUGUGAGAAGGCACUUCAAGACAACUGGGUAAGAAUGUUUUUCUCUCCUCCUCUUGUGCACACCCUGCCACAGAUAAAUGUGGAUGUAUUUCUCUCUGGAGCUUGGGGCUCAUGAUCUGGAGAGGGCACUGGCAGAGCAGAGCAGGGAGGUUGCCUACUUGAAAUGCAGGUACAGGAUUUUGACAUAUUUCUUUUAAGGGCGCUGUGAGGUUUUUAAAAAGGCUAAACCCUUUGGUGUCCAAUGGAGGCCUGGGUGUGGUAACUCUUAGUGAAACUGAUUCAUCUCGAUGUUCAAGACUGGAAGUCAUCCAAAAACAGAGGCUUCCAGAGGAAUUCAGGAGGCACAAACGAAUGGCAAGAGGACCUGACAGGGAGAUCCCUCCAUGGAGAGGUACAGAGCACAUUGUGAAAUGCAGUAGCUUAACUUCUGUGAUAACAUCUGCACAAAUGGCUUCUUGUUCCAGUGGGUGUCAUUGCUUGGUCUCAUGCAAACAGUCCCAGGUGGUUACUAGAGGGCACAGGUUGUCUCACAGUGGUGACAGGACACUGGUUCCCUCAGAUGCCCUGGCCAGCAGGGCUCUUUGGGUCUGUCCCUUGUGAGUGGUGGAGCUCACACCCCUUCACUGACUGUGGGCCCCCCUGAAACCUCCCGGUUACAAUUAACUGGAGAGUGGGUGGUAGAAUGAUCAUGGGUCAGCACCCCUUCCACCUUGAGACAAUGUUGAAGGCUGUUUCUUUUGUUUCACAUGAAUAAUGUGAACAACAGCGUGAAUUGGAGGCUGUAUGUCCUGAUGAGCUUUCUUGAAUUGGCCUUUGGAUAAAUGCUCAUAGAAAAUACACUUUGAUUAAAGAAAGCAGACAUUU